rnacentral:rRNA from 1 species
AGCAGCCGCGGUAAUUCCAGCUCCAAUAGCGUAUAUUAAAGUUGUUGCAGUUAAAAAGCUCGUAGUUGAACUUCGGGGUUUACCCAUUGGUCAGGCUUAAUUGUCUGUACUGGUGAGAUAAAUCUCUACCUUCUGAGGAACUUUCGUGCCAUUUAGUUGGUGUGAUAGGAAAUCAGGACUGUUACUUUGAAAAAAUUAGAGUGUUUAAAGCAGGCUAACGUCUGAAUACAUUAGCAUGGAAUAAUGAAAUAGGACGGAUUGGUUCUAUUUCGUUGGUUUCUAGGAUCACCGUAAUGAUUAAUAGGGAUAGUUGGGGGCAUUAGUAUUCAAUUGUCAGAGGUGAAAUUCUUGGAUUUAUUGAAGACUAACUAU